UACGUAGGGGGCUAGCGUUGUCCGGAAUCAUUGGGCGUAAAGCGCGUGUAGGCGGUCCGGUAAGUCCGCUGUGAAAGUCGGGGGCUCAACCCUCGGAUGCCGGUGGAUACUGUCGGGCUUGAGUACGGAAGAGGCGAGUGGAAUUCCUGGUGUAGCGGUGAAAUGCGCAGAUAUCAGGAGGAACACCAAUUGCGAAGGCAGCUCGCUGGGACGUUACUGACGCUGAGGAGCGAAAGCUAGGGGAGCAAACGGG
rnacentral:rRNA from 1 species